rnacentral:rRNA from 1 species
UACGUAGGGACCGAGCGUUGUCCGGAAUCAUUGGGCGUAAAGAGCGUGUAGGCGGCCACUUAAGUCCUGCGUGAAAUCUUGCGGCUCAACCGCAAGCGGUCGUGGGAAACUGGGUGGCUAGAGUGCGGGAGAGGAGAGUGGAAUUCCUGGUGUAGCGGUGGAAUGCGCAGAUAUCAGGAAGAACACCCGUGGCGAAGGCGGCUCUCUGGAACGCAACUGACGCUGAGACGUGAAAGCGUGGGGAGCGAACAGG